GAUGAACGCUGGCGGCGUGCCUAAUACAUGCAAGUCGAGCGAACAGACGAGGAGCUUGCUCCUCUGACGUUAGCGGCGGACGGGUGAGUAACACGUGGAUAACCUACCUAUAAGACUGGGAUAACUUCGGGAAACCGGAGCUAAUACCGGGUAAUAUAUUGAACCGCAUGGUUCAAUAGUGAAAGACGGUUUUGCUGUCACUUAUAGAUGGAUCCGCGCCGCAUUAGCUAGUUGGUAAGGUAACGGCUUACCAAGGCAACGAUGCGUAGCCGACCUGAGAGGGUGUUCGGCCACACUGGAACUGAGACACGGUCCAGACUCCUACGGGAGGCAGCAGUAGGGAAUCUUCCGCAAUGGGCGAAAGCCUGACGGAGCAACGCCGCGUGAGUGAUGAAGGUCUUCGGAUCGUAAAACUCUGUUAUUAGGGAAGAACAAAUGUGUAAGUAACUAUGCACGUCUUGACGGUACCUAAUCAGAAAGCCACGGCUAACUACGUG
rnacentral:rRNA from 1 species